GUCUCAAUAGCUUAGUGGUUAGAGCGCUGGUACGGUACGCCAGAGGCCCUGGGUUCGAGUCCCGGUUGAGACU
rfam:Crassostrea gigas strain 05x7-T-G4-1.051#20 contig4541, whole genome shotgun sequence.